rnacentral:rRNA from 1 species
GCGAUUCCUAGUGAUUAGAGUUUGAUCAUGGCUCAGAUUGAACGCUGGCGGCAUGCCUUACACAUGCAAGUCGAACGGCAGCAUGAUCUAGCUUGCUAGAUUGAUGGCGAGUGGCGAACGGGUGAGUAAUACAUCGGAACGUGCCCUGUAGUGGGGGAUAACUAGUCGAAAGAUUAGCUAAUACCGCAUACGACCUGAGGGUGAAAGUGGGGGACCGCAAGGCCUCAUGCUAUAGGAGCGGCCGAUGUCUGAUUAGCUAGUUGGUGAGGUAAAGGCUCACCAAGGCGACGAUCAGUAGCUGGUCUGAGAGGACGAUCAGCCACACUGGGACUGAGACACGGCCCAGACUCCUACGGGAGGCAGCAGUGGGGAAUUUUGGACAAUGGGGGCAACCCUGAUCCAGCAAUGCCGCGUGUGUGAAGAAGGCCUUCGGGUUGUAAAGCACUUUUGUCCGGAAAGAAAUCGCACUUACUAAUAUUAGGUGUGGAUGACGGUACCGGAAGAAUAAGGACCGGCUAACAACGUGCCAGCAGCCGCGGUAAUACGUAGGGUCCAAGCGUUAAUCGGAAUUACUGGGCGUAAAGCGUGCGCAGGCGGUUGUGCAAGACCGAUGUGAAAUCCCCGGGCUUAACCUGGGAAUUGCAUUGGUGACUGCACGGCUAGAGUGUGUCAGAGGGGGGUAGAAUUCCACGUGUAGCAGUGAAAUGCGUAGAGAUGUGGAGGAAUACCGAUGGCGAAGGCAGCCCCCUGGGAUAACACUGACGCUCAUGCCACGAAAGCGUGGGGGAGCAAACAGGAUUAGAUACCCUGGUAGUCCACGCCCCUAAACGAUGUCAACUAGUUGUUGGGGAUUCAUUUCCUUAGUAACGUAGCUAACGCGUGAAGUUGACCGCCUGGGGAGUACGGUCGCAAGAUUAAAACUCAAAGGAAUUGACGGGGACCCGCACAAGCGGUGGAUGAUGUGGAUUAAUUCGAUGCAACGCGAAAAACCUUACCUACCCUUGACAUGCCACUAACGAAGCAGAGAUGCAUUAGGUGCUCGAAAGAGAAAGUGGACACAGGUGCUGCAUGGCUGUCGUCAGCUCGUGUCGUGAGAUGUUGGGUUAAGUCCCGCAACGAGCGCAACCCUUGUCUCUAGUUGCUACGAAAGGGCACUCUAGAGAGACUGCCGGUGACAAACCGGAGGAAGGUGGGGAUGACGUCAAGUCCUCAUGGCCCUUAUGGGUAGGGCUUCACACGUCAUACAAUGGUGCAUACAGAGGGUUGCCAAGCCGCGAGGUGGAGCUAAUCCCAGAAAAUGCAUCGUAGUCCGGAUCGUAGUCUGCAACUCGACUACGUGAAGCUGGAAUCGCUAGUAAUCGCGGAUCAGCAUGCCGCGGUGAAUACGUUCCCGGGUCUUGUAGA